rnacentral:lncRNA from 1 species
GGGACUGUCGUUUUCCCUGUAAGGCCGAUUGGCCGAACACAUAUGGGGUUGAAUGAUUGAAUAUCUGUGAGGCCGAAUGACUGAAUACCUGUGAGGCCGAAUGACCGAGCAUCUGUGAGGUCGAAAGACCGAGCAUCUGUGAGGCCGAAGGGCCGAAUGCAUGGGAGGCCGAAUGGUCGAUUACCUGUAAAGUCGAACAGCUGAAUACCUGGGAGGCCGAAUGGCCGAUUACUUGUAAAGCCGAAUAGCUGAAUAUCUGGAAGGCCGAAUGACCAAAUGCCUGUAAAGUGGAACAACUGAAUACCUAGGAGGCCGAAUGGCCGAAUGCCUGUAAAGCCGAAUAACUGAAUACCUGGGAGGCCGAAUAGCCGAGUACCUUUGAGUCGAAUGCAUGCCGGGAUUGAGGGUAUUUUGAUGUUGUUAAUAAGUCUUUUAUCAGGUGAUGCAUAUGAUGCUUAUAUAUUAAGAUGGAUGAUAAUAUUCAAAAUAAUUUUGAAUUAAAUAACAAAAUGAAUAGCUAUAUGUAAAGCUAUAGAAGCUGUUGUACUCGUAGGAUAUAUAAAGUAUUGCAAAAUACUUUUCCGUUAUGCAGAGAAACGUUAUUUUCUUAACGUUGGGAUUUUGCACCGCAAGCUUCGGAAGUGUGGGUUGAAUGGAUUGAAUGAAACCUGAUGGGAGGUGCUUCCCGCAAGUCUCGGCUUCCAGCGUAUUCUGCAAUCCUAGUGUGCCUCCAACGUUCUUUUUGUAACGUUUAUAUUUUCUUUUGCUACAAGUUUUCUCCCGCAAGUCAUGGAUAAUGGGCCGAUCCCCUCUUUGGUUUUAGCUCCAUAAAUAGAGCACCUCCCUCACUCUAAAAUCAUCAGAAUCAUCACCUCUCUCAUUCUCUUUCUCUCUUUCUCCUAUUCUCCUUUUGUUUUCUUCUUUCUUUUAUCUCUUAAAAUAUUCUGGGUAUUUUAUUUUCUGUGUAAUAGAUCCUUGUUAGUUCUGAGAUCCUCAGAAAUUUUUGAGAAGUUCCUGUUGUAUCCUGGGAGAAUUGCGCAAUACACCGCGGAUAAGUCCUUAAGGACAGUGACUCUACACGCC